rnacentral:rRNA from 1 species
UACAGAGGCCCCAAGCGUUACUGAGAAUCACUGGGUUUAAAGGGUGCGUAGGUGGUCCGUUAAGUCCGUUGUGAAAUCCCUGGGCUCAACCCAGGAACUGCUUCGGAUACUGGCGGACUUGAGGCUAGUAGGGGUCACUGGAACUGACGGUGGAGCGGUGAAAUGCGUAGAUAUCGUCAGGAACGCCGAUGGUGAAGACAGGUGACUGGGCUAGUUCUGACACUGAGGCACGAAAGCGUGGGGAGCGAACGGG